rnacentral:rRNA from 1 species
GAUGAACGCUGGCGGCGUGCCUAAUACAUGCAAGUCGAGCGAACAGAUGAGGAGCUUGCUCCUCUGACGUUAGCGGCGGACGGGUGAGUAACACGUGGAUAACCUACCUAUAAGACUGGGAUAACUUCGGGAAACCGGAGCUAAUACCGGAUAAUAUAUUGAACCGCAUGGUUCAAUAGUGAAAGACGGUUUUGCUGUCACUUAUAGAUGGAUCCGCGCCGCAUUAGCUAGUUGGUAAGGUAACGGCUUACCAAGGCAACGAUGCGCAGCCGACCUGAGAGGGUGAUCGGCCACACUGGAACUGAGACACGGUCCAGACUCCUACGGGAGGCAGCAGCAGGGAAUCUUCCGCAAUGGGCGAAAGCCUGACGGAGCAACGCCGCGUGAGUGAUGAAGGUCUUCGGAUCGUAAAACUCUGUUAUUAGGGAAGAACAAAUGUGUAAGUAACUAUGCACGUCUUGACGGUACCUAAUCAGAAAGCCACGGCUAACUACGUG